rnacentral:rRNA from 1 species
UACGGAGGAUGCAAGCGUUAUCCGGAUUCAUUGGGUUUAAAGUGUGCGUAGGCGGGCUAUUAAGUCAGUGGUGAAAUCCUGCAGCUUAACUGCAGAACUGCCGUUGAUACUGAUAGUCUUGAGUUUGGUUAAGGUAGGCGGAAUGUGUAAUGUAGCGGUGAAAUGCUUAGAUAUUACACAGAACACCAAUUGCGUAGGCAGCUUACUGAGCCGACACUGACGCUGAGGCACGAAAGCGUGGGGAGUCAAACA